rnacentral:rRNA from 1 species
UAAGUAAGAGGAGAGGAGAGAAAGCAAGGGGGUAGGGUAGGUCUAGGGCCCCUUCUUCCCGCGCGCCCCCUCCGGUCUAGCCGCCGCGUUUUGGGUCGCGUUGUCUCACCGCCGAGUGCGAGCUGGCGCCCCAACACAGCCCUCCCCGCCUCUACCGGUCUAGGCCGCCGCGCCACCCACUCCGCCGAGCGCGAACUGGGAAUACCAGACACCCCUUCCCUCUUUACUGGUCUACGGCUCCGUCGCGCCACGAACGCGCGCUGGAGUCCGACGUGCCCCUCCCACCUCUUCCGGCCCGGUUUAAGCACGCACGACGCUCCUUCCUCUUCUGGUGCUCGCUGCUCGCUGCUCUCCUCCGAUGACCUGCGCGCGCCGUCCGCCCACUCUCCGCUACGGCUGCUGCGUGGUCAUCUCUCUGCGUAGAACUUUUCGUUCCGUCCUCUACCGUUAAACGAAAGUGUCGUUUGACGAGUAAGUACUUUCUACACCUUGACGGUGUCAUCCACAAACGUGUGACUCGACAACUGGGUUUCGUACUCUACUAUAUUUGUAUUGAACGAGUCCCCGUCGAUUGUAAACCUUCAUGAACAACGUAACAGACUAGGUCGGGUGUCCUAGUCACGGUAGUUUAAAACCCUUAAGGUCGAAACCAGGAAAUACAACCUUACGUCCACAUCCUCCAGAUCAACCUAAACGGUGUCCUCACAGAAGGAGUGGUCAGUUUAGACAUCAGACUUUUGGACCCCCUUUGGAUGAGUACAAUUGGGACUGGUCUCUAUGUAGUGGAGCUUCGUGGAGACUUAGGACAACGUUACGCGGCUUUAGCAGGAAGUACCUGUUCUGUAGGACCCGGUUUAAGCACGCACGACGCUCCUUCCUCUUCUGGUGCUCGCUGCUCGCUGCUCUCCUCCGAUGACCUACGCGCGCCGUCCGUCCACUCUCCGCUACGGCUGCUGCGUGGUCAAUCUCUCUGUGUAGAACUUUUCGUUCCUAACUUCUAAUAACUGUGUUUUUGAAGACGUUAAUUCUCUUCCUCGGCCGGCGAAGAGUCGAUAAACCUAUAAACUCGGCAAGGUACGUUAGACGGUUGGACUGCACGGGAAUAGUUCCGGCCGGCAAAAAUGUGGCGUUCCCUAUUUUUGGUCGCGGCCUGCUUUGGAUCGGUAGCGGAGCGUGAGCACGGGGAGGGGAAGCGUGAAAGUCGACGGCGGCGACGGUACGAGGGUGGGAAGAGGAGGGCACCGGAGAACAGCGACCCGGCGUACCGACGCCGCCAGCUGGAGGAGGAGCCGCGAGUUAUUAGUGUGCCAUCCCGCUCGUGCUCGACAGACUGUUGUCGUGGUCUCCCGCGGAGGUGUCCCAACCUGUUCUCCUAGACUCCACUCGGGUAGGGGGAGCGGAACAGGAACACAUGAGCAAGAACGACGAACACGCGGCCAACCAGGUGACACACGCCCACGAGCACCAAGACCAGCCAAGGAGGACGGCGCAGAAGUCAGUGGCGAGACGUCGAAGUCUUCGUGGUCGCUAAUACACUUAACCGAAACCACAAAUUGUUUUCAAUAAUCCCUCUACCUCGUCAAGGUCGUCUCUCAAUCAACAGAAGGUCUAGACAAGGACAGGGGCAAAGAAGGAGCACGCUCGGUAAAGGUGGCCGGACAAGAAGCGGACACGAAGGUCACUGGUACAGACGGUUCGAGGAUUACCCACUCGAAGAAGAGGAGAGAAGGAUAUCACCAGAUCGAUCCGAGAAGAUCUCACUUGACUUACGAAAGACAACCGACCUGAAAAGGAAGUGUUUGUCCCGUAAUAGAAGUUAAGCAGGUGUUUCAUUAGCCAUAUAUUUUCUAUUGAUCGUUUUUUCGGACACGCAACGUUGCCCUCUUUUUUGUAUUGUGUGCGAGAAUUGGGUUGUUGGUAGUUUGUACUAAAAAAAAAUGAAACUCUUCAACAAAAACUUACUCUUAUAAAAAAAUUUACCUUAGAAAAAAUACCGCUACUUGUAAAGAACUUUAACACUUGGUAAAAUCAAACCACAAGUUCAACUAUAAUCGGUUUGAUACUACAGUUAGAGGAGAAAUCUACUAAUACGGAAUUUAGUACCACCAUUAAAAAUUUGCAUACACAAAACCACCGCCACCAAAUAAUACGUGAGCAGACUUGCGGACCUCUGUUAAAUAUAGGCAACCGCCAAUCCAAUAUACAAAAGCUAUACACAUAGGAUUUGACACAUAUAUAGAAUCAGAAGAUAUAUCAAAAGUGUCGAAUUAUCAGUCAGUCAUACUAAAGUACUCCUGUGUUUGUUUGGAUUUAAGUUUAGAACAUUGUUUUUAUGGUUCGUAGUAUAGGCCGUUGUUCACGUAUAUCCAAGUCUCUCGUUGAUGUACGCACAUGCACCACUGAGCCUCUAUAAAAGGGGUGGUACUUGCUAGGUUUGUUUUAGUUUAAGAUUAAUUUUUUUGUAAAUAGAAAAAGCUCUGUUUUUUUUGUGCAAUAGAUAUAGUCAAAUUGCAACCGACUAACGAUUCUUUGGUCGUCGGAGCGACCACAAGGUGCGCAGACUUGUGUAGUCGAAGGGGGACGCGUGUACUGAGCACAGGUCGUCGGGGUGCGUGGCGACGGAGGUAUGCUGGAAUAGAAGAACGGACCAGCCGAAAGGGCUAGGGGUAAGGUAGAAGGGGAACGCGGCAGACACGGUGGUAAAUAGAGAGUUAGCGGCGAGGAGGAAGUUGUCGUGGUACGGAUUAUCCGAGCAGAGAGAGCGCCGGGCCGGCGGCCUCGAGCGGUACGAGAAGACACUCUCCCCCUCUACUAUCACGACGUUCCGCUGUCGGUGGUACCAACGCCCUGCUACCGUAAAGGGCCGCCGCCGCGACGCCCUACAACGUUCCGCCGCUGCCCGGUGCCGCUCUCCGCACGAUGCUGUCGCAGCUGUUGGUGCCUCCACGGCGCUCCGACGCCACUACGAAGUUAAAGGCACCGAUGCGACCCACGACUCGACGCGAGGUUCCCGCCGGCGGCCACGAUGCUGGUGGGCGGCCACCGACGCAACGAUGCUCCGGCCGGGCCACUAAAGGGUUGAGAUAAAAGAACCAACGAGACUACACGUGGCUGUUCGCCAGGACGGCUCCAGCAGGCUACAUGCCGAUUACACUCCGGUGGCCUCGACGCCCUGACCGUGCCCGGCGUGCCGACGACGGCCCUGCUGUUGUUUGCCCCGUCGCUGCGGGCCCGGAGCCGGGAAAAAAACCAAGGAAGGAGACAGAGAGAAGAGGACUCGACCCCGUACGUGCGUAUACAGCAUAACUAGAAGGCUCUACAAAAACAGAAACGCCGUCCAGAACGGGUGUAAGAAUAAACUAAGGGAAAGAAGAUGAUAAAAAGAAGUCUCUCUACCGGUACCGGCGAGCUACGGGCUCGCGGCGGCCGGUUCCUGGGCGAGCGUAGGUCUGGGAGAGGUACGUUAGGGGUAGAGCGGCCUCUGGACUUGGUUCAGGGUAGGUCACGGGCACGGUAAGAAGUGGGAGGGCGGGGCGUCGAGGCAUCGGGCUCGCGAAGUCGGCGGAGUGCGGGCUUCGUCUCCUCUCCUCGAGGGACGGUGCUCGGAGAGGUCACGGCCGUUUGGUCCGGCUGGGGCGGAGGAAGAGCGAAGCAUUCUUUAGUAUACCCAAAAAGACAUUUUACGUUUUUUUUACUAAGCAAGAAUGAAUUUUGUCCUGACGCCGACUUUGUCUCACUACAAAUACGUUUUAGCGAUCGCUGCUGCCUGCUGUCUUUGGGUUAAAAGAAAUAAUAAUAAUCCAUUUCCAUUUCUAAUUUCACCGAUUCGAUCUCCGUUGCGGCACGCAAGGGUCGCGGAGCGCAGUAGCGAGGGCAAUUAUCUGUGCACAGGGACAGAAAAAAGGACCAAGUGACGGUUAAACGUCGGACAAAAAAACCCGACCAGACCAGCGAGAUAGGAAGGAAAGAAAAAAAAAACCGGCCAGACCAGCGAGAUAGGAAGGAAAAGAAAGAAGAUCUCUCUUGCUCUCUCCCGGUCCCUCUUUAUUUCCCCUCGCCCGUGGCGACGGAGGUGUGCAGGCAGGGAUCGUCGGGGCGCUGGUCCGGCGGCGGCGGCGGCGGCGUCGAGGGAGGGGAAGAGGGCGGAGGGGAGGGAGGGGGAAAGGUGGAACUAAACAGGUGUCUCCCGCGCUGAUGUUUGGGAUCCGGACCAGGAACUCCAACAAGCCCGAGCCACCUUUGUCGCCCGUCACGUAGUUGCUACUAGUUCGCGUCGUCCUGCCGCGGUCGAGUACGCAUUACCGAGCGGGAGAAGUGGUGUCGGGGGGAGGAGAGAGGGUGCCGUCACGUGCCCUUUGUCGUAGCAGUCACGGGGUUCUGCCCUAGCUCUCAGGGAAUUAGUGAAGAAAGCAGGACCCAACCCAACACGGUUCCCAGCCUGCAGUGGAGCGACGACGAUCCGUUCAACCUAACUAGGGCACUUCGAUGAGGGGUCGAAGAGGUGUUUUCGGUGAUUCAUAAACGGAGAGAUAAAAGAAAAGUAUUAAUUUAUGACAGUGACAUACCUAUUGAGAAUAACACCUUUCUCGAUAAAUGAGAUAUUACCUAUCCAUCUCGGUUUCUUUUAUGUACGAAAUUAGUCAUGUACUAAACGUCGAGACAGUACGUAUGAAUAUCCUUAUACUCAUAACCUACCAACCCUUAAAUUCCUAUACUUUAUGACAGAUGUGUAUAGUAAACUUCACAACAAGGACUUUGUAAUAUUAGUAAUACGAUGUUAUCUAUCUUAAAAAGUCGUCUUUCUUCCACGUAUAAGAAAAGGUAUACAAAAUAAUUAUUCGUAGUUAGAAGAGACAAGAUACGCCUUACCAGGAUACUAGUAAACGAAAAUACAUAUCUUCAGUUCAGAACAGUGCAUCUUUCUACUAUAGUAGCUACACGAUAUAAAGGGUCAGUCGUUUUAUCUUUUACUUCGAUCGAUCUUUCCAACAAACUACCUGCCUUCCCCUGGAGGUGGCAGCGGUAAGAAGAGGGAGGGGCUGGAGGGCAGCAGCACGAGAUGUCUAGACCAGUACCGGUGUUGGCUGCAUCGAAGGGGCCGGUGGUGGCUGCUGCGGUCGCUCCACCGGUGCCACCAGCGACGGCUUAGGUACCUCCUCGAGUGGGUCCGGAAGAGGAACAAAAUGAGGUGCCGACCCAGAGUGGGGCCUAGGUACCUCCUGGUCACGAUAGAUCGAUGCGUUAGGGUAGAUUCCGUUUCGUAGAUCUUAAAAAACAUGCUCAGUUAAAAUAUGUCUUAUAUAGAUCCUCCUUCAUUAUAUACUCAAAAGAAAAUUGAAGGACGAGAACGAAUGAGGUCAUAGAACAAACAACUGUUUCCUUAGUUGGUUGUAAGGGGACGUCUACCGUAGGGUGUGGCAUAAAAAGACAUAGUACGUAUACUUUCCUUAAAAAAUUUAUGAUUAUGUGUCUAAAGAGAAAUGGGGAAGACUUUAAAAUCGAACAUAUAGAACGAACCACUUUUCUAUAAUACAGUAGGAUGUGACAUGAAAGGACUUUGCACGUAUACUUUCCUUAGAGAGUUUAUGAUUUUGUGUCUAUAAAGAGAAAUGGCCAAGACAUCAAAAUCGAAGAUUCUUUACGUGUUGAUGAUAGAUUUGGUAAUUUCCAUUUAAAGAUUCGUUCGAUUUCGACAACGAAGAGUUCUUAUACGAUAAAACGUUUAGGUUUCAAGUCAAUCUCUUCUAUUUACAACAUGCCCCAAGAACCUUACCUGAUUCAAUAGAAAAAUACAGUUGUCAGAAUCUACUAAAGGGAGACAACAUGUUAGUAAACCCAACAAAAACGUAUCAUACACGUACGAACUAUCCUUAUUGAUCGAGAGUCUAUUAAGAACCACUCCGUACAGUCGUACUGCAGGUAAGGAGCACAUUUAUUGACUUAAACCGUAAACGUUACAUAAGAUACUCGUACACAUGUCCGGAACAAUCGAUCUAUUUAAAAGGGACUAACAACAAUCGCCGGACUAGUGGACAAUACGAUGGGUAACAGAUUUACCUCCCGCUUAGAAGAAAGACUAAGAACCUCUUAAUUUAUAUGAUAGCUCUGUAAGUGUUUCCCGCAGGGACUACGUUCCUACAUGAACUUAUGAGUCCUCUGUUCCCUUUUAACAUAUACAAUGGAUUUAUCCCAAAGGUACAAUAAAUAAAUAAACACGACGAAAACACGUCGUUAAUCUAAAACACUGUGAUUAUAACAACAAACAACGUCCGUGCCAUAAGUGUUAUCGCAGGAUAAAGUUGCCGAGUUUGACAACCAGGAGCGUACCGUUACAAGGGACGGCCACAAGCACCUCAACCAGAUGUUGUUAAAAUACCGGUCGUUGGAAGUUGCAAAUAAUUGGGUGAUGUCUAUAUCUCUUUCUUCUCUUCUUCUUAUUGGAACUUCUAAAACCACUUCUUGUUCCUCCAAGUCGGCCACCAGCUUCUGUUAGUUCUACUCGACCAACAUGAUCUCUUUUUACGGUAAGUUGUCAGAAGUCAAGUCACAUGGUCGGUUUAUUCUCCAGAGAUCUGUUUUCAAGUCGAAGGGUCAAUUCGAGACAUAACUGUUGGAGUGACCGGAGUUCCUUGACCGACACUCGACGUUGUUAACAUGAUCGACCGACGUGUAUAACUCAUGUACUGGUUGUAAAGAAUGUGGAGGUCUUGUGUAGUAGGUUCGUGUCAAAAGAACGCUUUUCUUACGGGUUAUCGUGAAACCCCAUUUAAUGAACUCUUCUGUUGUUGGUAUCGUCGAAACCGACAUCGUUACCUUUUGUCAAGGUGUAGAAGGGUUACAGUUUGUCUUCUUUUGAGGUCCCGGCCUGGUACACACUUUACAGCUCGUCUAAGGGUUAUCUCAUACACUUUACGAAGUAUUAAUACUGCCUCUUCUAUAACAAGAAACGUGGACAACACGACGUCACACUGUUAAAAUGGAACAACGGAGUUUAUCUUAUGGAAACUACCUUGCAGGAGGUGAAUUCGUGUAUUUACAUUGAGUCUAACACACGUGGCAGUGUUCUACGUUGCUAUUGUGACUUUCAACCGAGCAGUAAGUGACACAACACGUACAUGUCUUAUUUACCCACUACCUGAACCGAGUUACUAAAGUAAAGACGGGUUGUAUUAGCGUACCGGACUAAUGGACGACGUGUUGGUACUUUCGCGAAGAGACUGAAGAGAAGAGGCUAUCUAAAGAAAUGCUGUAUUGUUACAUGUGUGACAAGGGGUCUAUAUAAAAUUAACUACAGAUGGUAAAUCUUUUAACCAGUAGUCUCUUGAUCCACGUUGGAAUGAGGUUUUAUCCAAGUCUUCUCUUGGCUGUCGGUUCUGAACGUAUUCUUAAAGUUACGGUACAGCAAGUUGUCUUUUUUCUCGACGUCUUUCACGUGAACGACCGACGUGAUAUAGCCUGUUGGUAAAGUAUUCGGAGCUCUCAUGUAGUCGGUCUGUGGUGUAGUGUGACAUUAACGCAUCUCGUAACUAUUCCUAUGAUGAUCCUCUCACACUCUCUACUGAGUGCUUAACGUCGCGGAAGCUUAGACAACACAGUUCUCAAUGAAGAUACCUGCUUGUCCCUUGGUGUUAGGACAAGCUACCGUACCACCGUGAUCCACCGCCAAGCCGUUAUCGCGGCGCUCGACAUGAACACACGAGUAGUUACUUACUGUCGGUACCGCUUCCAGACUCAUGAACGGGAACAACGAACUAUGCACCUCAGUGUGGAUCGACUUUGCACCCAAAGUCGUGCGGUUACAGCAGUAGUUUCGUAUUCCAGCGCGUGGAACAGCCGCGGUACCACAGGUUGAGCUCUUGCCUUUUACCGGCGAGGCCAUCCAGACCACGACAGUGACCUCCUCAACACCUCCUACCGCAGUGUGAGGUGUCCUGUAGUUCGAGCCCCCUCUGCAGCCACUCCCAGAGGCAUCCGCACUCCGGCACUUGGGGUACCAGUUUCGGUAGCAGUUAGAGGAGUCGUAGGUGGCGGAGUAGGAAGUACUAAACAAGGAGGCUCGUUCCCUGCUACGAGACCACUACGACCUCUCGCUAACGCUGGCGUGCUGACGAACUUAUAGGCACACGUUCGGGAGCUCCAUGACCACCUGCUUCGUGAACUACUAAUCCCACCCCAACUCUAGAUCAUGCGCUACAUGCACAAGGGUAUUACAACAGCACAUGAGCCGGUGCUAACGUCAGAUGAAAUCGGGCUCGUCGCUCGUGUUCGCGUACAACAUGAAGCCGCUGUGCAGGACCUACAGUUCCUACGUCCGUGCGAGCAUCUACGUGGCGGGUACGUUUCGCUCUCGGGCGCGACGAGGCGCAGAACUAGCUUCAACUUGGUGGCGCAGGUGUACUAACUAAGAAACCUUGUGCCUCUAGAAGUGGUGUGGUAUACGACGUUUGUGGACGACGUCGUCGUAGAGGAGUCACUGGCC